rnacentral:rRNA from 1 species
UGGGAUAGCCACCGGAAACGGUGAUUAAUACCGGAUAGGACCACUUCACGCAUGUGAUGGUGGUGGAAAGUUUUUUCGGCGCAGGAUGUGCUCGCGGCCUAUCAGCUUGUUGGUGAGGUAACGGCUCACCAAGGCUUUGACGGGUAACCGGCCUGAGAGGGUGACCGGUCACACUGGGACUGAGACACGGCCCAGACUCCUACGGGAGGCAGCAGUGGGGAAUAUUGGACAAUGGGCGGAAGCCUGAUCCAGCAACGCCGCGUGAGGGAUGACGGCCUUCGGGUUGUAAACCUCUUUCAGUACCGACGAAGCGCAAGUGACGGUAGGUACAGAAGAAGGACCGGCCAACUACGUGCCAACAGCCGCGGUAAUACGUAGGGUCCGAGCGUUGUCCGGAAUUAUUGGGCGUAAAGGGCUCGUAGGCGGUUUGUCGCGUCGGGAGUGAAAACACCGGGCUUAACUCGGUGCUUGCUUUCGAUACGGGCAGACUAGAGGUAUGCAGGGGAGAAUGGAAUUCCUGGUGUAGCGGUGAAAUGCGCAGAUAUCAGGAGGAACACCGGUGGCGAAGGCGGUUCUCUGGGCAUUACCUGACGCUGAGGAGCGAAAGUGUGGGGAGCGAA